rnacentral:rRNA from 1 species
UACGUAGGGUGCGAGCGUUAAUCGGAAUUACUGGGCGUAAAGGGUGCGCAGGCGGUUCUGCAAGUCAGGCGUGAAAUCCCCGGGCUUAACCUGGGAAUGGCGCUUGAAACUACGGGACUGGAGUAUGGCAGAGGGAGGUGGAAUUCCACGUGUAGCGGUGAAAUGCGCAGAUAUCAGGAGGAACACCGGUGGCGAAGGCGGAUCUCUGGGCCAUUCCUGACGCUGAGACGCGAAAGCGUGGGGAGCAAACAGG